rnacentral:lncRNA from 1 species
UUCGACUCGGUUCGUUACAUCGAACACUAUAUAAACCGCACCAUUCUUCUCCAUUCCUUCCUCACAGUCACCUCUCACCCUCACUGUUCGAUAACACCAUGUCGCGAAACUCGAAGACGACUCGCCGGAACCUCAAGCUUAUCACCAGAACCCUUUUCUAGUAGCCGGAGGUUGGAGACAUCGCCGGAGUAACCCGAUGACGCCGCCGGAGCUACUUAACCAUCGGAGCUCAACCGCAAGUUCGUCGGACCGGAGCUUGCCGGAGAAACCCAGUCGCCGCCGGAGAUAGAUCGAUGCUGCCAGAGAUGCGCGAAACACGACACAAAGUCAUCAGAACGUGCGGUAUACCUUUCUUUAAACAAACUGUGUUCUUGUUAAUCCUCUGCUAAAAAUCCUAUAUUAUUUGUAAUGUUAAUAGUCGUCAAAACAAAAGAAAGAAAACGGAAUUAUGGGUUACUGUCGUUGGGUUUUAAUAAGUAUAGGUUAAGAUGAUGACUGUUAUUGAUCUUUAUACAAACAAAACAAAAAAUGGUUUUCAUCAAAGAAAUAUGGUAGAACAGUAGUGCACGGUCUUAUCCUUAUUUGACUAUAAGAUGCAGUUUGCACCAUUUUAAUUCAACAAGAUUUCUUUUCUCUUUUAUUCCAAAAUAAUUAACGAAAAUGAUUUUACUACAAGAAAUCCAAUUAAUUGGAUUAUUACAAGAUUUUAUUCCAUUUUAACAAAAGAAUUGAUUUCUUUUGUUAAUUUAAAAGGAUUAAUAAUAAAAUAAAUUAUAAAUCCAAUUAAUCUAUUUCUAAACCUUAAUAUUCGGAAUCUUAUUUAACGAGUUCGUACACGUAUUUCAUAUCUAGGUUAAUCAUUUUCGUUCGUUCUCUUGGAAUUCUCCAUCCUUACUCUUGCGUUAUUCCACAAGAAAUCGCAACGCAAUCACAGUGAGUAUACAUGACCCAUUUUCGUUUUAUACUUUUUGGGUGCAAUAUGUAUUCCUUAUCAAAUUACACAAUCACGUUAAACAUUUUAUGCACACUCUAUCCAUACUCUAUGUGAUACAUUUUAAUCAUGUUAGACAUGUUAUGCUACUGUAAACAUUCAUGACUAUGUGUUCAUUAACUUUGCAAGCCUCCCCUAACAAUGGUAGCGCUAUAGGUUGAGAAACGCCCCUCUCGUUAUAUUAACGAGUAUUGUUAGGUUAAACUAUGUUAAAACCACCCGUACACUUUUGGGUUGGACACUUUAAUUGCGUUAAACUUUGGUUUGGACACGUAGAGUAACAUCGUUUCGAGUAUAUACUGUCAAUAUGAUAUUGUAUUUCAUAUUUGGAUAUGAGCAACAUUUUAAACACGUUGAUUUAUCAAGAUACAAGAAAGCAAGCUAGGAUGGCCUAGAAACUCAUUUUAGAAAUAAACUAUUGUUGAAUUUGUAUUUGGAUGUUUGAAACUUUGUAUUAUCCUUUAGAAUCUAAUAAAAUGAUUUAACUUAU